AAAGGAAUUGACGGGGGCCCGCACAAGCAGUGGAUUAUGUGGUUUAAUUCGAAGCAACGCGAAGAACCUUACCAAGGUUUGACAUCCAACUAAGGUUGCAGAGAUGUGACUGUGCCCUUCGGGGAAAGUUGAGACAGGUGGUGCAUGGUUGUCGUCAGCUCGUGUCGUGAGAUGUUGGGUUAAGUCCCGCAACGAGCGCAACCCUUAUUGCUAGUUGCUACGCAAGAGCACUCUAGCGAGACUGCCGUUGACAAAACGGAGGAAGGUGGGGACGACGUCAAAUCAUCAUGCCCCUUAUAUCUUGGGCUACACACGUAAUACAAUGGCAUUUAACAGAGGGAAGCAAGACCGCGAGGUGGAGCAAAUCCCUAAAAGGUGUCUCAGUUCGGAUCGCAGGCUGCAACUCGCCUGCGUGAAGUCGGAAUUGCUAGUAAUCGCGGAUCAGCAUGCCGCGGUGAAUACGUUCCCGGGCCUUGUACACACCGCCCGU
rnacentral:rRNA from 1 species